GACGAACGCUGGCGGCGUGCUUAACACAUGCAAGUCGAACGGAAAGGCCCUGCUUUUGUGGGGUGCUCGAGUGGCGAACGGGUGAGUAACACGUGAGUAACCUGCCCUUGACUUUGGGAUGACUUCAGGAAACUGGGGCUAAUACCGGAUAGGAGCUCCUGCUGCGUGGUGGGGGUUGGAAAGUUUCGGCGGUUGGGGAUAGACUCGCGGCUUAUCAGCUUGUUGGUGGGGUAGUGGCUUACCAAGGCUUUGACGGGUAGCCGGCCUGAGAGGGUGACCGGCCACAUUGGGACUGAGAUACGGCCCAGACUCCUACGGGAGGCAGCAGUGGGGAAUAUUGCACAAUGGGCGGAAGCCUGAUGCAGCAACGCCGCGUGCGGGAUGACGGCCUUCGGGUUGUAAACCGCUUUCGCCUGUGACGAAGCGUGAGUGACGGUAAUGGGUAAAGAAGCACCGGCUAACUACGUGCCAGCAGCCGCGGUGAUACGUAGGGUGCGAGCGUUGUCCGGAUUUAUUGGGCGUAAAGGGCUCGUAGGUGGUUGAUCGCGUCGGAAGUGUAAUCUUGGGGCUUAACCCUGAGCGUGCUUUCGAUACGGGUUGACUUGAGGAAGGUAGGGGAGAAUGGAAUUCCUGGUGGAGCGGUGGAAUGCGCAGAUAUCAGGAGGAACACCAGUGGCGAAGGCGGUUCUCUGGGCCUUUCCUGACGCUGAGGAGCGAAAGCGUGGGGAGCGAACAGGCUUAGAUACCCUGGUAGUCCACGCUGUAAACGGUGGGUACUAGGUGUGGGGUCCAUUCCACGGGUUCCGUGCCGUAGCUAACGCUUUAAGUACCCCGCCUGGGGAGUACGGCCGCAAGGCUAAAACUCAAAGGAAUUGACGGGGCCCCGCACAAGCGGCGGAGCAUGCGGAUUAAUUCGAUGCAACGCGUAGAACCUUACCUGGGUUUGACAUGGAUCGGGAGUGCUCAGAGAUGGGUGUGCCUCUUUUGGGGUCGGUUCACAGGUGGUGCAUGGCUGUCGUCAGCUCGUGUCGUGAGAUGUUGGGUUAAGUCCCGCAACGAGCGCAACCCUUGUUCACUGUUGCCAGCACGUUAUGGUGGGGACUCAGUGGAGACCGCCGGGGUCAACUCGGAGGAAGGUGGGGAUGACGUCAAGUCAUCAUGCCCCUUAUGUCCAGGGCUUCACGCAUGCUACAAUGGCUGGUACAGAGAGUGGCGAGCCUGUGAGGGUGAGCGAAUCUCGGAAAGCCGGUCUCAGUUCGGAUUGGGGUCUGCAACUCGACCUCAUGAAGUCGGAGUCGCUAGUAAUCGCAGAUCAGCAACGCUGCGGUGAAUACGUUCCCGGGGCU
rnacentral:rRNA from 1 species